AUUCCUCUCUCAAGAUCACUCUUUGUGGAGUUUAUCAUAUGCCUACAACACUGACUUAUGACCUUCGUGAGCUGGGAUUAUUCAUCAGAAAAAGUCCACUUUCCAGUAUAUAUCCAUGUGAAGAAACACACCACUCACAGGAACAAACAACCACAGGGUUCAUUUUCAGACAAGAACACUGCUCACUAUCUGACUUCAUUAGUGCCGAGUAUAUCUAUACAUACACGAGCAUAAACAUUCGAACAAACUAAAUUACACCUUGAGAAGGUUAAGAUGGGAAAUUCUCCAAACUAAACUAGCAAUUUCCUGUUUCACGGCUUCUCAAGUGUAAUGCUGCUGACAGGUGGGGGAAGCAAGAGAAAAUGUAUGUUUAAAGGCAGGGUUAGCUUUGGAUUUUAGGAACACCAAGCUUACAAAAGAAACAACUUGUUUUUCUCAUGCCGCCUUAAUUCUGUCAGAAGCCUGAUCCAACUUUUGUUGGUAUGUGAAAUAAACGAGAAUGCAAAAUGCCAGAGAGCUCCUGAAUGGAAUCCAUCAGCAAUUUUACAAAAAAAUAUCCAUAUCUCAGUUUGGAAUUUUAUAACAGGAUUUGCCUCUUUAUUAUUGCAUUCAUCCCCCAAUCACAUAUUGCAAAUGCAUUUGUAUGCUUUGGUGAUAACCCUGUAUCUUAUUCAUUGGGUGCCAUGUAUCAAACUGAUUGGGCUUCACCUUGUUUUGAUGAAAUUCUGAAACACAGGGAGACAGUCUUACUAGUUUUAACUAAAGCAACAGAUGUUGCAUACUCAAUAGAAACAUUUGCCAAAUUUAAGCAUCAUUUUAUUUGAGAUACCUCUGCUUUCCUAGCUGCUCUAAGGGAAUCCUGAAACAUGUUUAGACAAGGACAGAGAGCAGUCACCACAUCCAACGGGGUUAUGAUGAAGCUCCUUGAGUCACUGUCUUAAUCCCCAGCAAGGCACGCUUAAUGUCACAGAGUGCCUCCUGCUAUUUGCACCUUUAUAAGUUUUGUUCGUGUAUGAUUACAGUUAUUAUCUACUAUUACUUGUGCAAAUCAACAGAUUUUAAAAGCGGUUGCACAGGCAGAUGCAGUAAAAAAUGACUCAGAUUCUACAGCCAAUCGAAUAGCUUUUUAGAUUGGUUGCAGAAGAUUUUACUGUUUUAGGCACUCCUGACAAUAAUAGCAAAAAGCAGCACAAUACAAUAGUUGAAGCUUUUUAAGAAAAGUUUCUUUCAGGUACUUUUCUUGAAAAGAUUUACCAAUAAAGGCUAAUCUAGUUAGAGAACUAUAUUAAAUCUCAUGAAAGAAUGUAACAUCCUCCACUUUGGAAGAAAAAUUGAAGUAUUCAGCUAAUAAUGCAUCUCAAAUAAUACUGCAGUCUGUUCCAGGAUUUACAAGAGUAAACAAA
rnacentral:lncRNA from 1 species